rnacentral:tRNA from 1 species
UCCUCCGUAGCUCAAUGGCAGAGCAUUCGGCUGUUAACCGAAAGGUUACUGGUUCGAGUCCAGUCGGAGGAG